AAGGGGGGGGGGAGAGAGAGAGAGAGAGAGAGAGAGAGAGAGGAUGGAGGCCUGGUCGUGAUAAUGAUAAAUUUAGUUGCUAGGUGUCAAUGAGCCAUUGAGCCCUCUCAUGGCUGCUUCCCGUUUCUCAGUGGACAGAGUACCAGCUCUUAACGCCCUCUUUCACGCUGGAAGCCUGCCUCGAUCUGCUACUGAAUGUGCCUUCUCUGAGCAAUCGUGAUUUUUCUCGCCGUUUUGGCUCAGUACAAUUGAUUCUGAUAAUGGUUCAUCAGGUCAGAGAAUCUGGCUACGUGUUGCAUGAGUUUACGGGAUAGAUGGAAGAAAACCACGCUGAAUGGGGAAAAGGCGAGAAAGAAACGGAAAGAAAGCAUCGAAACAUGAUUUUCAACUGAUUUUGGGGGUUGAAUCUUUCAUAUCCUUUUUCUCCUGGCCCCUCCUUCUACUAGACUCUCCUUUUUCUUCUCAUGCUCCUUCUCCGGCCGAUUUCGUUGGUAUCUGUUUUCUUUCCGGUUGUAUAGUGAAAAACCCUAAAAUUUUCAAAUAAGCUCUUGCUCUAGGUAUUAUUUGAAGUAAGCGAGAGAUCCUAGAUUUGCCUAUUUUUCUUGUUCCAAUUAUUUUUCGCAUUUGUUCUUUUUGGUUUUUCCCGGCCUCCUUUCCUCAGAUCUGAUUCAAUUAUAAGUGUCUUUCCAUCGAUUUUUCAAGAGCACUCGUUUUUCCCUCGGCGUUUCCUUAUUUGGGCAGGCCUUCGUAUUUUCCUGAUCUCGACUCCUAUAGCUUAUUUCAUAUGACAUAGAAAUUGACAGAAGAGAGUGAGCACACAGAGGCACUCGGUAUUGUUUCAUACUGAUGCUUUUGCGUGCUCAUUCUCUUUCUGUCAGCUUCCAGUGCUGGAAAUGAGUCUCACUGCUAUUUCUGGUUUCUGAAUCCUUCUCGGUUUGAUUCUUUCCUCAUUAUGUAUCCUUUCUUAGCAAUUGGAUGGAUCCUCAGCUGAAAGCAUGAAAGAUCAUUGGUGAGAAAUGAGAAUGAGGAGGUUAUCAUUAUCCAACAGUGUAAAGCAGUUGGUGAAGAUACCCGAGUAGCCCUGUGCAGAUUAAGCAGCCAAAUUAGCGCAUAGCUUGGGACCAUUUCACGUUAUAGUAUGGUCCUCACAAUUUUAUCUUACCGAUGCUUUGCAGGCAUCAUCGUCAUCAUCCUCAUUAUCGUUUUCUUCCACGCACAUUUUUUUUUAAAAUAAUUGCUGCGCAUGCGAUGCAGUUGGUUUGCUGUUUGUUCUCACCUGAGUCAUGGCUAGAUUCUGCCUUCUGCUUCAUAUCUGAACAUAUUUAUUUCAGGAGUAUGUAUUUACCAUUGGCAGAUAAACACUAGCAACCUACUUGCUUGGGUUGAGAGUGUACUAAAUUAUGUGUUGCUGAGCAUCAUUUCGUUCCCCGCCUGCUAAUAUUCUGAUCUUGCUCCUGACACUGUAUAUCUUUCUUUUUUUUUUUAAUAGAAAAUUGAUGUAAUAUUUUGUGGGGAUUAUGCAAUGUGACCCCAAAGGGUGAUGGCCUAGGAAAAUUAAUCUAUUGGGUUGAGCUAGGAGCUCGAGAUAAUUACGGACUUUAAUGUUCUGUGGUUGAAUAAAAUGAUCUGCCUUGUUUUAAGGUUAUAGACAAUAUUAGGCUUCUAUAAUUUGUAAUAAUAUACAUGUGAGGUUGUGCUCGCUCACAUUGGAUUGGAUAAUUAAGGCCGAAUAUGAUAGUUAUUAUGUCGGUUAGCUAGAAUUAGCUGUUAUAUGUGUUUGUUAAUUUGAAAUGGAUUUAACUGUUAAAUUUUAACAAAAAUGGUCUAUAAAAUAUUAUAAAAUGACGUCCAUUGAAUGAUACAAUAGACAUGCCUGUUAACUUGAAUAAACGAAUGUAAAAUAAAUUGCAACUCUUAUUUAUUUUGCUUUAGUGAUGAUUGUUUAGAAAUUAUAUAAAUCUCUCUUUCCAUAUUAAAAGUGCUAAAAAAGUUUGAAAGUUAAUAUGUAUUGUAUCUUGAAUUAGUAUAUUGCCAGCAAUCUCCACCACUCAUUGAAGAAGAUAAUAUUUCAUGGAUCAGUCUUUCUUUAUUAUAUUGAUUUUAAUAUUUUUCUUUUUCUAAGGAGUGAUAAUUAUUUAUUCUUGCCUAGAAAAAUUACGAUUCUUCAUGGAGGACAUCGAGAUUAUUAAUUAUGGUGUUUUUAAUGUUCUAUAUAUGAAUUAGGUGAUCCUGCAGAGAUUCUGCCAUAUUUUUCCAAGAGAUUUACAGAUAUGCAUAGGCUGGAUUGCUCCAGGGAGAUUUGUUUUUUUAUUUUGUCCUGCUUUCCUUUUUCCUUCUUAACUCAAUUUUUUCUGCAUUGGUUUACCAACCGUUGGAAUGUAAUCCGUACUUGUCGUUGGUUAUACUAGCAAGAUCACAUUGAACUUGUUUUUAUGCUGCACCCAAUUUCUCAAUGGAUACCGGUAUAUUCAUUGAGAUUAAAGCAAGAAACACCCACCAUUGUUUAUAUUUGGACCACUACGUUUUAUGACUUUGCUUUUCGUUGUCUGUUAAAUAGCUGGAUAUUUCUGAUACAUGCACAGCCCCCCUCCUGUUGCUUUAUGUUUCAUUAUAGUAUGAGUAAUGCAGCUUGCUCGGAUCUGCGACAAUAGCUUGAACUUAUAAUACAUCAAUUGUGAACCAGAAUAAUUGUUCUUGUCAAAUGUGCAUGACGUAUAGCGUCGAUCGGGGCAACAAGAUUUGAUUUUUUUUUUUUUAAAUUUAUGAGGUAUAUCUAUAUAUGGUCUUGUUGGCUUGUGACUUGACGGUGCUUAUAUUUUGGGGUCAAUGCAUAUGAAAGAAAGAGGCAAAUGCAACUUUAAGUAUUCCAGUUAAUUAAGGCUUCCAUCUAUGAAGCCUUGAUUUAACCUUAUAAUUGUCUCUCCGCAUUGAUAUAUGCAUAAUAUAUAAAUUUGCAAUCUUGCGAUGUUAAAAUUAUCGUGAUUGAGUAUCUGGUUCUUCUUUUUCUAUUAAGUGAAGCUUUUAGCCGGUAGACAAUAAAAUUAAAUUAUAAAUAAUGUAGAUUUGGUAGUUGCCAUUUGGGACGUGCAAAAGACGAUUUAACAGUAACUGGGUGUGAUAGUAGGCUAAUGUAGCUGCCACAAACAUGCUUAGCUUGACGUGCACUGAGAAGGACAUGUUUUUGCUACAUCUUUUCCUCUUACCUCUCUUCUUUCUCUUUGUCUGAUAGCUUCUCUUCCUCCCAAUUCCUUCCUUAUUUAAUUCCAAUCCACUGUCAUUCCAUUCCAGGUAACAAAAUAUUCGAGCUCAAUUAUUGAACAGUAAAGAGUGUGAAAAGCGGCAAAGUCGCGGUGACCAAAGAGGAAAGCGAGCGCAAACGAAUGGUCGAGCCGGGCGAGCAAAGCAGUUUUCCUGUUCUGACAUAUUUCUGAGAAUCGUAAUUGAAGUGAUCCUAUUAUAUGUAACAUUAAUAUUUUGCUCUUGGACUGUUGCUUCUGCGGCUCCGCUUUUAUAUUACUCAUAAUAGUAAAGAAGUUACAAAAGGCAUGUAUUCAAUAGCAAAGGCUGGACCUGGAUGUUUCAAUAGCAAAGGCAUGCAUCCGUACUGCUUGUAAAUCUAAGAAGAGAUAUAACUAGAAUUUAGUAGUUAAUACGUUGCGAUAUUGCUAAUUACUAACAAUAAAUUGUCGCUAAUGCCUGAUUAUUGGA